UAUUAACCUCGGAUCAGGUAGGAUACCCGCUGA
rnacentral:rRNA from 1 species